GUGAGGAAUAUUGCGCAAUGGAGGCAACUCUGACGCAGCCAUGCCGCGUGCAGGAAGAAGGCGCUACGCGUUGUAAACUGCUUUUAACCGGGAAGAAACCCCAGGACGUGUCCUGGGUUGACGGUACCGGAGGAAUAAGCACCGGCUAACUUCGUGCCAGCAGCCGCGGUAAUACGAAGGGUGCAAGCGUUAUCCGGAUUCAUUGGGUUUAAAGGGUGCGUAGGCGGAGCGUUAAGUCAGUGGUGAAAUCCUGCAGCUUAACUGUAGACUUGCCAUUGAUACUGGCGCUCUUGAGUGCGCGUGGAGUGGGCGGAAUGUGCCGUGUAGCGGUGAAAUGCUUAGAUAUGGCACAGAACACCAAUUGCGAAGGCAGCUCACUAAGGCGAUACUGACGCUGAGGCACGAAAGCGUGGGGAUCGAACAGGAUUAGAUACCCGAGUAGUCC
rnacentral:rRNA from 1 species